GACGAACGCUGGCGGCGUGCUUAACACAUGCAAGUCGAACGGAAAGGCCCUGCUUUUGUGGGGUGCUCGAGUGGCGAACGGGUGAGUAACACGUGAGUAACCUGCCCUUGACUUUGGGAUAACUUCAGGAAACUGGGGCUAAUACCGGAUAGGAGCUCCUGCUGCAUGGUGGGGGUUGGAAAGUUUCGGCGGUUGGGGAUGGACUCGCGGCUUAUCAGCUUGUUGGUGGGGUAGUGGCUUACCAAGGCUUUGACGGGUAGCCGGCCUGAGAGGGUGACCGGCCACAUUGGGACUGAGAUACGGCCCAGACUACUACGGGAGGCAGCAGUGGGGAAUAUUGCACAAUGGGCGGAAGCCUGAUGCAGCAACGCCGCGUGAGGGAUGACGGCCUUCGGGUUGUAAACCGCUUUCGCCUGUGAAGAAGAGUGAGUGACGGUAAUGGGUAAAGAAGAACCGGCUAACUACGUG
rnacentral:rRNA from 1 species